rnacentral:rRNA from 1 species
GACGAACGCUGGCGGCGUGCUUAACACAUGCCAGUCGAACGGAAAGGCCCUGCUUUUGUGGGGUGCUCGAGUGGCGAACGGGUGAGUAACACGUGAGUAACCUGCCCUUGACUUUGGGAUAACUUCAGGAAACUGGGGCUGAUACCGGAUAGGAGCUCCUGCUGCAUGGUGGGGGUUGGAAAGUUUCGGCGGUUGGGGAUGGACUCGCGGCUUAUCAGCUUGUUGGUGGGGUAGUGGCUUACCAAGGCUUUGACGGGUAGCCGGCCUGAGAGGGUGACCGGCCACAUUGGGACUGAGAUACGGCCCAGACUCCUACGGGAGGCAGCAGUGGGGAAUAUUGCACAAUGGGCGGAAGCCUGAUGCAGCAACGCCGCGUGCGGGAUGACGGCCUUCGGGUUGUAAACCGCUUUCGCCUGUGACGAAGCGUGAGUGACGGUAAUGGGUAAAGAAGCACCGGCUAACUACGUG